GUAAAGAUUUUGAAGAUGCUUAUUUUUCAUGAGCUAAAAAUUAUUCCAAAGAAUAAUAAGCUCAUAAACAAAAAGCCCAAUUUUAUGAGUCCAAUAAAUGCUUAUCACUUCUUAACAGUAAGUUUUACUGAGUUGCUAUUGCAAUAUGUAUUCUAAGUACUAAUGAUAUAUGAACUAAAAAUAAUAUUCACAUUUUUGAAGUACUGGGUAAGGUUGGGUGUCUUGAAAAAAGUAAUUGUAACUGUAAGCUGUGUUCACAGUUUAAAAAAAGAUCUUGUUUCUCUUUGAAUAACAGAAGAGCCUGUUUACCUUCCAGAGCUACUAAUAUCGUGCUCUGAACUCUGCUGUGGGAUAAGUAAUCUUUUUUUUAAAUCUCCUCUCCCAGGUACUCACCUUUUCCAUGGCUACCUGCACUUCAAGACCAGGUCUGGAUUCUGGACCUGUAUCCAUAUAAAUACUCAUUCAAGUAAAGACUUGGAUGUAUUGAAAUCCAAAGUGGAAAAUCCUGGAGCAGUUCAACGUCUCAUCUGCCUCUCCAGACAUAGUCUUUCAAACUUCUGGAAUUCAUCUGCCUCGCUGGAAGACUGA
rnacentral:lncRNA from 1 species